UAUAUAGAGUCCUGCUAUGGUGCUUGUAAAAGCACCAAUCAUUUUGUACUUAUAGAUUUUUAACCGUUAGAUCAGCACUGUUGAUCAUUUACACCCGUUAGAUUAUACUAUUCAACCAACCACCCACUCAACCCUAGGGGGCCCACAUCAUCCUAACCACAUAUUUUUUAAACUAAAGGCUAAAAACUUACAAGCAUCAAUGUCUUGGUACUUUUAAAAAUAUAGGAGCUCAAUUCUAUAUAUAUAUAUAUAUAUAUUCUGAUCACACUCUCUGCUUGUUUCUUUAUUUACUGACCCACUAUUUAUCUCAGUAGAGGAAGAGACAAAAACAGUAGUAAAAGAUUAUUAUAUAGUGGAAAAACUUCAAAUAGUACUGAUGUGAUUUUUUUUUUACUUUAGUAUCGUGUGGUUUAAACUUUAAAAUGUAUCACUUUCAUACUCUGUGAUUUUAUUUUUUUCUUUUUAUUAUUUCAUCAAUCAAUUUUUCUUAUUAAAUCAGUGAUAAAAUUAAAAUUAAAAAGUACUAAAAUACAUAUUCGAUAAACUAUAGGUGGAUAUAUAUUUAAAAAGAGAAAAAUAGAACCACAAAAUACUAAAUUGAUAUACUUUAAAUUAUAGAAUAUUAAAAUGAGAAAGUGUGAGAUCAUAAGGGUCGUAUUUAAAGCUUAUCCU
rnacentral:lncRNA from 1 species